ACCUUCUGAGGUUGCCACUGGGUUAUCUUGCCCCUUGAGAAACUUCUCUUUCUCUCAUGGCACGGGUUCAUGGGAAAUGUCAUAUCUUCAGGGCUGCAGGCUGUAGUUAUCUGAAUUUUUUGGCAGAUGGAAGAGGGAGCUUCCAGUGUGGUAGAGGAGAGUAGAAGUCUGGAGAAGAGAUAAAACAAAAAGGAGGAUAACAAAAGACAGGUUCAGCAAGGGAGUUCAACAACAGAAGGCAGGAAAAAUGAGAAGGUUUCAGAUCUGAAGUCUGGAUGAAUGAGGAUAAAGCAGGGGAUAGGCAGACACCACUAAAGCGGUUGAGGACUGGCAGCUGACAGCAAGUAGGAAGAUAUAUGCAGUACUUGACCCUGCAACCUUCUUCAGGUUUUGAGGCCACUCUUCAGGGUCUGGGAGCCUUCUGUGAAUGCAUGUACCUUAGCUACACGCUGGAGGUCCUUGCAGUGGAGAGUCCACACAAGGAUUUAGGACCCAUUACUCCACUGAGUGUUGGAGUGCUGUGGAGCAGAGCUCCCGGUUUGGUUUCAUCCAAUAGGAAUCUAUUUUGUGCACACCAGCAUCACUUUGAGAAAACAACUAACAUGUGACAAGUGGGGACAAUCUGGGGAUUUGCUUCAAAGCUACCCUAUUGCUAUCAAACAAAUUACUAAGGUAGACAGAAUGGUCGUGACUGAAAAGUACGUGAAUAUGUCUGUUCAUGACCAUGAUCAAAAAUUUUUAUCAGAUGCUGUAUUAUUAUUAUUUUUUCCUUAAGGGUUCUCUUUAAUGGUAUAUGUUUAAAAAGAAAUAAUAUGAUUACUCCUUAUUGUUUCUGGCUUUCUGCAAAAUAGAGAAAACUAAACAGAACAUUUUCAGAACAGGACAGCUUUGCGAUAACACAAAGAACUCAACUCAUACUUUGCUUUUCUGCCAUGUUGUAAAUAUUUCAAACCCAAAUAAGUUUGUGUAGCAGCUGACAGAUAUAUUGAUUUUGCAAGUAUAAAUCUUUGAACAAUGUCGCAUGCAUUUAUUUUAAAAAGACCAAAUAAAUUGAAAAAUCUGCAGCCCUGAGGAAGGGAGGAAAUAGUAACUCUGUGAAACUUGAUUUCUGUAUUUGUACCACAAUAGUGAAUUAUUUGCAUAUCUAUUGCCUAAAGGUUAACUUCUGUUGAUUUCCUAAACCCUAAAGAAUAGAGUCUGAGCCUCCAACAUUGCAGAUGUCUGAAGCUCUGCAGAACUGACAUUGAUAAGCUCUACCAUCUUGAAAAUAAGCCCUUUUGUACCUUUCAUGUAAGUAAUCUUCUUUCAUGUUCUAGUUUUGUUAAGCUUAUCUUGUGGUUGAGUAUCUCAAACCAUGGCCACAUGGACAGUUAUGUCUAGAACUUUCUCUGCCCUUGCUCUGCACAUGCGUCUUGUCCACCAGGCCUGGUCUGGAAGCUGUUUUAGAUGAGGGUCAGGAGAUAGCAGCAGCGGUGGAGAGCCACUCUUGUGCCUCUCUAGCUCCCAGACUGGCCUGAAUCCCAGCAUCCCUGAGCACACACAGUUCAGUGUGUUCCGUUGGGCCCCUAUCCACGUAGCUGUGCCUUUUGUUAAUGAAACUCCAUCUUCAUGAAGGCUUCAGACAUCUUCUCCAGUAGAAGAUCUCCUUUUGCUUAUCAGGCAUCUUACUAUUAGUCAUGUGGUAGAAAUAAGCAGGGCAGACUUGGUUUAGUUCAAUCUGUGAUGCAAUAUUCAGGAAACCCCAGAAUGUAGCAAUGUCAUCCUCUGUCGAUAAUAAUCAGGAAGUCAGUCUUUACAUUCAGAAUUUGGAUUGCCGAUUGAUUGCACCUAUUUGCUAGCUCAUUCGCAGAAAGCAGAGAUGAGAAAGAUGCAUUAACAUCUUUUGCUCCCUCAGUGCAGAACCGUUCAAUUUGAAUAUUACCCUAGCCUUGUUUAUCAAAAUGCUAAGCCCAGCUUAUCAAAAUGUUCCUAAAAAAUAGCGCCAGUCUGGAGGGUUCACUGUUAACAAGUAUUCUUUGUUGCAAUAUUUCACUACAUUUUUACAGGUGAAUCUAUAGCUGGUCACACUUUUUUUUCCUAGUAAAGAUAGGUUAUAAAGUCAUAUCUGGCAAAAGUGGUUUUCCUAUAACUUCUUCCUUUUGUGGUAUCAUGGUUAUCUGCACCUUUUUCUGAGUACUCAGAGCUGAACAAGACUAACCAGUAAACUAAUGGUAGCACAGGUCUGGACUGCAGAGCAGUGCCCUCAUAAUAAGAAAUUGAUAGGAGCAGAAGUUUUGUUAGGAAGCUCCCUGUUACAGCAAGAUGAGAUGUGUUUUGCGGAACCUUUGAACCGUAGCUAUGUUGAUCCCACAAGUUGUCACCAACAUGGCCGUGCUGUGAAAAAGUGCAAUCCCUGGUUGAUAGAGCUGUGCUGGUAGAAAUCUUUAGUGUAAUUCCGCUGCAUCAGCAAAACUUCAAGAAGGAUGUAUACAGAUAUUCAUGUGUCUGUGUCACUCUGUCCUGGUUUCGGCUGGGAUAGAGUUAAUUUUCUUCUUAGUAGCUGGUACAGUGUGUUUUGGAUUUAGUGUGAGAAUAAUGUUGAUAACACACUGAUGUUUUAGUUGUUGUUAAGUGGUGCUUAUCCCAACUUAAGGAUUGUUUGGUUUCCCAUACUCUGCCAGCAAGCAGGUGCACAAGAAGCUGGGAGGGGAGCAUGGCCAAGACAGCUGACCCGAACUAGCCAAAGGGACAUUCCAUACCAUAGAACGUCAUGCUCAGUAUACAAACCGGGGGGAGUUGGCCGGGAGGGGUGGAUCGCUGUUCGGGCAUCAGUCAGUGGGUGGUGAGCAAUUGCAUCAUGCAUCACUUGUAUUUUCUUGGGACUUAUUUCUCUCUUUUUUUGUUAUAUUCCUUUUAAUUACAAUUACUAUUUACUGUUAUUAUUUUUAUUAUAAUAUUUUAUUAUUGUUGUUGUUAUUAUUUUUUAUUUUUACUUUAGUUAUUAAACUGUUCUUAUCUCAACCCAUGAGUUUUACUUCUUUUUUUCUAUUCUCCUCCCCAUCCCACUGGGAGCGGGGAGGAGUGAGCGAGCAGCUGCGUGGUGCUUGGUUGCUGGCUGGGAUUAAACCACGACACACUCCACCACUUUAUUAAACCACAGCCUCGGUCCUUCAGCUUCUCUCAGCAGUCCUUUAAGCAGAAACAAGGGUGCCAACAAGAAUUCUUGUACCUAAGAAAGGGCCAAAGAUGGAGGGCUAUUGAACUGCAGUGAGUGAGGCAGUGAGUGGCAGAAAGAAGCUCCUUAAUGGUGCAGUUUGAUGCCGCUCUUCCUCCAUGAGUCAAUGCCUUUGUUCAUGCUUCAGUGAUUCUCUCUCCCACUAGGCUUAAAUUCUGCAUCUCAGCAGCCAAGAGGUAUGGGUAAUAAAUCCUGAAUGCAGACAAGGGGUGCUUAAGAUCAGGAAUCUCAGCCCACAGGAUGAACCGAGAAGCCGAAGAUGGAGAUGAUGGCUGAAGUCUGCCAAGAUUCAGAGGAGCGCAGCAACGUGCCAGAUCCUCACUGGAUCUGAGCAUAUCAGCCUGAUACAAGUCAGAGGGACUGCCAUAUACAAUUAUCAAGACAAUUGUGGUCUUUCUUCAAAGUUAGGAGAUGGACCAGAUGAAUGAUUUGUAGUAGGUGGCUGAGAUCCCUGGAACCAUGACAGAGCAUACAAGUUAUUACAAGCUUCUUUGGCCAAUGGAUGAUACAGUGAAUUACCUGAAUCUAUGACACGUCUGUGAAUACCAUUUCCCUAGAUUGUAACACCAGCCCAAUUCUUUGGCUCUGCUGGAAGCUAACCUAAGAGAUGACGGGGGAAUGAUGGGUGAGCCAGCCAGCCUGCAGGCUGAGUCACUCCAGGAAGGCAGACCGUCAUCUGGCAAUUAGGAUGGAGAAGAAGAAAGCGUGCCAGCAAAACAGGCUACUUGACAGCAGCCUCGGGAAUGCCUUGUGGAACUACAGCACUCAGCUCAUCCUCCAGCAUUACGGCCUCGCAGAGAGGGAUGGACGGCUGCAUCUGGGAGUGCUUCUAAGUAAUAGACUGGUUCACUUUGAACCCUGGUGUAAAACAAGGCUCUGCUCUUGUGUAGGCUAUCGGUUGGGUGGAGCAGCCGCAAGCCUUAAGAACAGCUAAGACUCAUCAACAAGAAAAAAGGAUAGAAAAAUGAAAACAAGCUGGAAAGAGAUGAAUUUCACCACGAUAUACCUCAUUUUCCUCAGCAGACUGAGAACUGCAGAAUUAGCACAGAUUUCUGCUACUUGAGCUAAUGGAGUGCCACUACCAGUCAUGGGUUGUCAUCCUCUGAGUAAAGCACUCCCAGAAGAGGCUCACUGAUGGGCACUGAUGAGAAACAUGAAGUGAGGAUUUGCUUCUCAGCUGGGGUGACAAGUAGUCAGGUAGAUGUAUACUCCAGAUGUAAGCUAACCUGCUGUGUCUCCUUCGGCUGUUCACCAUCGUUGUCCUUUGCCUUUCCCACUUCAUCCCAGACUCAGUCUCCUCCUACAGCAAGUCACUGUGGUUCCCAGCUCCUGAUCUCCCAAUCUGAUUACCUCUUUGCUCAUCCCCAGUAUGACAUUCUUUGCUCCCAUUCUCCUUGGCUGGACCACCCUAACUCCCCAACCACUCCUCCUGACCGCAUUCCUCAUCUAGCACAGCUCUGGGAUCCAGUAUAUCUGUCUGAGAUUUUCUCCAUGGUGCAUUUGAACAAGUCCAACCUCUGUACUCUUGAGUUGAACAACAGGCCUGCUGGGACCAGAGGAAGGCAGACCCCUGCUUUCCAUUUGGGUGCCUAGACCUCUUACGGCUCAUGUUAGCAGAUGCCUAUCCAUAGCAAAUGGAACCUUAGGAAAGUUUGCUGUCAAAAUCAAAGUCAUCUUUAUCAAAAGUGCACCAUGACUUUUCAUACACUUAUUUCAUGAGUGUCCUAGUUUCAGCUGGGGUAGAGUUAAUCAUCUUCCUAGUAGCUGGUAUAGUGCUAUGUUUUUGAGUUUGGUAUGAGAAGAAUGUUGAUAACACCGAUGUUUUCAGUUGUUGCUAAGUAAUAUUUAGUCUGAAGUCAAGGAUUUUUCAGCCUCUCAUGCCCAGCCAGCAAGAAGGCUGGAGGGGCACAAGAAGUUGGGAGGGGACACAGCCAGGACAGCUGA